CAGUCGCCGCGGGAAUACGUAGGGUGCAAGCGUUAAUCGGAAUUACUGGGCGUAAAGCGUGCGCAGGCGGUUAUAUAAGUCAGAUGUGAAAUCCCCGGGCUCAACCUGGGAACUGCAUUUGAGACUGUAUGGCUAGAGUGUGUCAGAGGGGGGUAGAAUUCCACGUGUAGCAGUGAAAUGCGUAGAUAUGUGGAGGAAUACCGAUGGCGAAGGCAGCCCCCUGGGAUAACACUGACGCUCAUGCGCGAAAGCGUGGGGAGCAAACAGGAUUAGAUACCCCAGUAGUCCCUGUCUCUUAUAC
rnacentral:rRNA from 1 species